UGGGGAAUCUUGCGCAAUGCGCGAAAGCGUGACGCAGCGACGCCGCGUGGGGGAAGAAGGCCUUCGGGUUGUAAACCUCUUUCAGAGGGGACGAAGUCUCGGCGGUGAAUAGCCGUCCGAGUUGACGGUACCCUCAGAAGAAGCCCCGGCUAACUACGUGCCAGCAGCCGCGGUAAUACGUAGGGGGCAAGCGUUGUCCGGAAUCAUUGGGCGUAAAGCGCGCGUAGGCGGCCCGGUAAGUCCGCUGUAAAAGUCCAGGGCUCAACCCUGGAAUGCCGGUGGAUACUGCCGGGCUAGAGUCCGGAAGAGGCGAGUGGAAUUCCUGGUGUAGCGGUGGAAUGCGCAGAUAUCAGGAGGAACACCGAUAGCGAAGGCAGCUCGCUGGGACGGUACUGACGCUGAGGUGCGAAAGCGUGGGGAGCAAACAG
rnacentral:rRNA from 1 species